rnacentral:rRNA from 1 species
UGGGGAAUAUUGGACAAUGGGCGAAAGCCUGAUCCAGCCAUGCCGCGUGAGUGAUGAAGGCCUUAGGGUUGUAAUGCUCUUUUUGGCGGGGACGAUAAUGACGGUACCCGCAGAAUAAGCCCCGGCUAACUUCGUGCCAGCAGCCGCGGUAAUACGAAGGGGGCUAGCGUUGUUCGGAAUUACUGGGCGUAAAGCGCACGUAGGCGGAUCAGCAAGUCAGGGGUGAAAUCCCGGGACUCAACCUCGGAACUGCCUCUGAUACUGCUAGUCUAGAGUCCGGAAGAGGUGGGUGGAAUUCCUAGUGUAGAGGUGAAAUUCGCAGAUAUUAGGAAGGAACAUCAGUUGCGAAGGCGGCUCUCUGGACUCAAACUGACGCUGAGGCACGAAAGCGUGGGUAGCGAACAGGAUUAGAUACCCACGUAGUCCCUGAGCGGGCUGGCAAGGCGCAU